rnacentral:rRNA from 1 species
AGAGUUUGAUCAUGGCUCAGAUUGAACGCUGGCGGCGUGCUUAACACAUGCAAGUCGAGCGGUAACAGGUGUAGCAAUACAUGCUGACGAGCGGCGAACGGGUGAGUAAUGCUUCGGAAUCUUCCUCGUAGUGGGGAAUAACCUGGGGAAACUCAGGCUAAUACCGCAUACGAACUACGGUUGAAAGCAGGGGAUCGCAAGACCUUGCGCUAUGAGAUGAGCCGAAGUCGGAUUAGCUAGUUGGUAGGGUAACGGCCUACCAAGGCGACGAUCCGUAGCUGGUCUGAGAGGACGACCAGCCACACUGGGACUGAGACACGGCCCAGACUCCUACGGGAGGCAGCAGUGGGGAAUAUUGGACAAUGGGGGCAACCCUGAUCCAGCGACGCCGCGUGUGUGAAGAAGGCCUGCGGGUUGUAAAGCACUUUUAGUGGGGACAAAAAGCCGAGGGUUAAUACCUUUCGGUCUUGAUUUAACCCAAAGAAAAAGCACCGGCUAACUCUGUGCCAGCAGCCGCGGUAAUACAGAGGGUGCAAGCGUUAAUCGGAAUUACUGGGCGUAAAGCGUGCGUAGUCGGUUAUUUAAGUCGGAUGUGAAAUCCCCGGGCUCAACCUGGGAAUUGCAUUCGAUACUGGAUAGCUAGAGUUCGGCAGAGGGAAGUGGAAUUUCGGGUGUAGCGGUGAAAUGCGUAGAUAUCCGAAGGAACAUCAGUGGCGAAAGCGACUUCCUGGACCAGAACUGACGAUCAGGCACGAAAGCGUGGGGAGCAAACAGGAUUAGAUACCCUAGUAGUCC